rnacentral:rRNA from 1 species
GAUGAACGCUAGCGGCAGGCCUAAUACAUGCAAGUCGAACGGUGUCUUCGGACAUAGUGGCGCACGGGUGCGCAACACGUAUGCAACCUACCUUACAUUGGGGGAUAGCCUUUCGAAAGGGAGAUUAAUACCGCAUAAGACAGUAGCUGGGCAUCCAGCAGCUGUUAAAGAUUUAUCGAUGUAAGCUGGGCAUGCGUCCAAUUAGCUAGUUGGUGAGGUAACGGCUCACCAAGGCAAUGAUUGGUAGGGGAACUGAGAGGUCAAUCCCCCACACUGGCUCUGAGAUACGGGCCAGACUCCUACGGGAGGCAGCAGUAGGGAAUAUUGGGCAAUGGACGCAAGUCUGACCCAGCCAUGCCGCGUGCAGGAUGAAGGCGUUAUGCGUUGUAAACUGCUUUUAUACAGGAAGAAACGACUCUUGCGAGAGGCAUUGACGGUACUGUAUGAAUGAGCACCGGCUAACUCCGUGCCAGCCGCCGCCGUAACAC